AUAUAUAUAUAUAUAUAUAUAUAUGGUUCCCGGCCAUUUCAUCCCCGGUUUUUUCAUCCCUUGGUCUUUUCAUCUCCCGUCACUUCAUGCCCGGUCAUUUCAUCCCCUGGUCAUUUCAUUACUUUAAACCCCAAGCUUGGCUAAACCUCUCUCUCUCUCUCUUUCUCUCUCUCUCUCUCUCUCUCUCUGUUACACUUUUUAAAAAUUCAGCCCUAAUUUUAUUUCCUCAUUGGUUGUUGCUGAUGAUGCCUUUAUGGUCACUUGAGUUUCUUAGAAUUUGAUCACUCAAUUUUUAUUGGGAUAAUCAUUGUAACUUUUCCAUUCAUCAAACUGAGCUUAGGAACAAUAACACUUUAUGAUUUUUUU